UUUAGAGUUGGUUUGUUCAACGCUAAUUACGACGCUGAAAAAAGUUGUUUAAAUGUCUAUCCCUUUAUUAAUAUAUUUUUCCCACUGAAGUCUCGUAGCUCAGCUGGUUAGAGCGCUACACUGAUAAUGUAGAGGUCGGCAGUUCGAGUCUGCCCGAGACUACUUAAAGUAGUUUAACAAUCAGACUUUAUUUGAAUUAAACUAUUUGGGGGAAUUAGCUCAGCUGGCUAGAGCGCCUGCCUUGCACGCAGGAGGUCAUCGGUUCGACUCCGAUAUUCUCCACAAUUCCUGAUUUUGGAAAAAUGUUCUUUGAUGUAUUGUAAAUUAGAAAGAAAACAAUUAAGUUUAAGUAAAUUAAUAACGAUCACAA
rnacentral:tRNA from 1 species